rnacentral:rRNA from 1 species
UACAGAGGUGGCAAGCGUUGUUCGGAAUUACUGGGCGUAAAGGGCGCGUAGGCGGCCCUCUAAGUCAGACGUGAAAUCCCCCGGCUUAACCUGGGAACUGCGUCUGAUACUGGGGGGCUUGAGUAUGGGAGAGGGAUGCAGAAUUCCAGGUGUAGCGGUGAAAUGCGUAGAUAUCUGGAGGAAUACCGGUGGCGAAGGCGGCAUCCUGGACCGGCAUUGACGCUGAGGAGCGAAAGCCAGGGGAGCAAACGGG